GACGAACGCUGGCGGCGUGCUUAACACAUGCAAGUCGAACGGGAUUUAGUAAACAGAAACCUCGGUGGAAGAUUACUAAUGAGAGUGGCGAACGGGUGAGUAACGCGUGAGCAACCUGCCUAUGACAGUGGGAUAGCCUCGGGAAACCGGGAUUAAUACCGCAUAAAAUCGUAGAAACACAUGUUUUAACGGUCAAAGAUUUAUCGGUCAUAGAUGGGCUCGCGUCUGAUUAGCUAGUUGGUGAGAUAACAGCCCACCAAGGCGACGAUCAGUAGCCGGUAUGAGAGGAUGAACGGCCACAUUGGAACUGAGACACGGUCCAAACUCCUACGGGAGGCAGCAGUGGGGAAUAUUGCACAAUGGGGGAAACCCUGAUGCAGCGACGCCGCGUGAACGAAGAAGGUAUUCGUAUCGUAAAGUUCUGUCCUAUGGGAAGAUAAUGACAGUACCAUAGAAGAAAGCUCCGGCUAAAUACGUG
rnacentral:rRNA from 1 species